CGGUUCUUGUAAGAUCAUAGAAGUUAAGUAACGUCGAGCCUGGUCAGUACUUAGAUGGGUGACCACUCGGGAAUACCAGAUGUUGCAA